GCCCGGGUUCUCCUGCUAAUUCUCCCAUCAGCUCUUCACGUGAUAUUGUGCUUAUCAUUUAUCUUCUUUGGGCUUCAACUUCAUUAUCCUUAAUCCAGAAGAGCGAGAGUAGAAAGGUACAGGACCCAGAAGGGAGCAUAAGGUCCCCCUGAAUUGGAGUUAUGGAUGGAAGGUUGUGAACUACCAGGUGUUUCUCAGAGGAAAGGAUCCAGAUAAAGCUGUCUCUUGUGAGACUAUGCCGGGGCCUAGCAAACAGAAGUGGAUGCUCACAGUCAGCUAUUGGAUGGAUCACAGGGCCCCCAAUGGAGGAGCUAG
rnacentral:lncRNA from 1 species